GUCAUUUGCCCAUGACUCCAGCAGAGAUAUAAGUGGUCAGAACAUGAUCUCAUGUAAACUUUAGAAAGCAAUCUUGCUCUUUCCCAUCUUGCAAGAUGGCGGGUGAAAAAGUUGAGAAGCCGGAUACUAAAGAGAAGAAACCUGAAGCCAAGAAGGCUGAUGCUGGUAGCAAAGUGAAAAAGGGUAGCCUCAAGGCUAAAAAGCCCAAGAAGGGGAAGCCCCAUUGCAGCUGCAAUCCUGUUCUUGUCAGAGGAAUUGGCAGGUAUUCCCGAUCUGCCAUGUAUUCCAGAAAAGCCUUGUACAAGAGGAAGUACUCAGCAGCUAAAUCCAAGUUUGAAAAGAAAAAGAAGGAGAAGGUUCUUGCAACUGUUACAAAACCAGUUGGUGGUGACAAAAACGGUGGCACCCGGGUGGUUAAACUUCGCAAAAUGCCUAGGUAUUAUCCUACUGAAGCUGUGCCUUGAAAGCUGUUGAGCCACAGCAAAAAACCCUUUAGUCACCAUGUGAGAAAACUGUGAGCCAGCAUCACCCCCGGGACCAUUCUGAUCAUCCUCACUGGACACCACAGGGGCAAGAGGAUGGUUUUCCUGAAGCAUCUGGCUAGUGGCUUGUUACUUGUGACUGGAACUCUGAUCCUCAAUCGAGUUCCUCUGCAAAGAAUGCACCAGAAAUUUGUCAUUGCCACCGCACCAAAACUGAUAUCAGCAAUGUAAAAAUCCCAAAACAUCUUACUGAUGCUUACUUCAAGAAGAAGCAGCCGCGGAAGCCCAGACACCAGGAAGGUGAGAUCUUCAACACAGAAAAAGAGAAAUACGAGUUUACAGAGCAGCGCAAGAUUGAUCAGAAAGCUGUGGACUCACAAAUUUUACCAAAAAUCAAAGCUAUUCCUCAGCUCCAGGGCUACCUGCGAUCUGUGUUUGCCCCGACAAAUGGAAUUUAUCCUCACAAAUUGGUGUUUUAAAUGUCCUAAUAAUCUAAUUAAAUAACUGAUUAC